UACAGAGGUCUCAAGCGUUGUUCGGAUUCAUUGGGCGUAAAGGGUGUGUAGGUGGCGCCGUAAGUCGGGUGUGAAAUUUCGGAGCUUAACUCCGAAACUGCAUUCGAUACUGCGGUGCUUGAGGACUGGAGAGGAGACUGGAAUUCAUGGUGUAGCAGUGAAAUGCGUAGAUAUCGAGAGGAACACCUGCGGCGAAGGCGGGUUGCUGGGCUGACACUGACGCUGAGGCGCGAAAGCCAGGGGAGCGAACGGG
rnacentral:rRNA from 1 species